rnacentral:rRNA from 1 species
CGGACCAAAAAUUUAUUGCCCUUGGAGCGGUCUGCUUACUAUUAGGUUGUUGGUGGGGUAAUGGCCUACCAAGCCGAAGAUGGUUAGCGGGUGUGAGAGCAUGGCCCGUCUCACUGGGACUGAGACACUGCCCAGACACCUACGGGUGGCUGCAGUCGAGAAUCUUCCGCAAUGGGCGAAAGCCUGACGGAGCGACGCCGCGUGAUGGACUAAGGCCCUCGGGUUGUAAACAUCUGUCGUAGGGGAGGAAAUUUUGACCGAUCCUAGGAGGAAGC